rnacentral:misc_RNA from 1 species
CCAAAACUUAGCUGCUCCAGUUCAGGCUGGUUUGCCACGCCUUCAACCCUUUGUGAACCAAAAACCUUUACGCCUUCGGCAAGCUGGUUCCAGCUGUGUAAGGCCUGCCCGAUGGCACCCAUUUAAACCUGUCGUUAAAUAUUUGUCUGAAACUAAAUAUUUUCGAAUGAAAAUUAA